CCAGGUUCCACGUGAGUAACACGGGUGCACUGAUUUCUAUUACACAGAACAUUAAUAAGAGAAGGCACUGACCCUCCAUUUCCGAGAACCAGGCAGCUUUAUAAAGAUCAUCUCCUGUUUGGAAAGCAAGCCUGCCACUCUUCCACGUGGUUCAGAGGACACAUCUUCCCUGGAGAUAAAUUCUUCAAAUGACAGGGGCCUCACCAUAGAGGACUUCUUCACCAUGAGGAAUUAACCAUAAGGACGGCUGCUAAUGUCAACUCCGACAGAUUUAUAGCCCAUUCAUUCAUGGGAACAAAAACCCUGCCACGGCUGGUCAUGGGACACGCAAUAGCAGUUAGUUCAGAAGAUAACAGCGGCAAUACCUCACCUCUCCAUUCAGGACUACAGAGCCGGCACCACUUUGGAGCAAACAAUCUGGAAAGGAAUAAAGACAAAUGGGGAAUCUGAAGCUUAAGGACAAAGAAGCAACAACUAUGGUUAAGCGUUCUGUCUCAUUUUGAAGUCAGCUUCAACCACUUCCAAGCCUCAGUUUACUUAUCUGUAAAAAUGGGGAUAUUAACUAAACCUAACUCAGAGUACUGAGCGACUUCACUUUGACUUUUCACUUUCAUGCACUGGAGAAGGAAAUGGCCACCCACUCCAGUGUUCUUGCCUAGAGAAUCCCAGGGAUGGGGGAGCCUGGUGGGCUGCCGUCUAUGGGGUCGCACAGGGUCGGACAUGACUGAAGCCACUAAGCAGCAGCAGCAACUCAGAGUAUUAUUGUUAGAAUUAAAUGGUAUAUAAAAAUAUAUUA